ensembl:antisense Gm28375 predicted gene 28375
GCAGCUUCAGCCGAGGCAAGAGGGUCUGAGCCUGUGAGGACCUAGGAGUUCAGGAGUGGGCCUGGCAGAAGUGGCUCUCCGUGGGCACCCUUGACUGUUCACUUACCCACCAGGAGUGAGAAUAGAACUUGGGGAAUUCACACAGGCCUGGCCAGUACCCAUCCUCAGCUAUUGGUCCAGAGAAGGAAACACUGAGGUUUGCACCAGAGGAAGAUGAGGGGUGAAUACUUUGAAGGUAGUCAGUGGAAUGAAGCUUCCAGGUUGAUACUCGCUUGAUCUCCCAAGUCCUAUGAAUUCUGGAGGUGACCAAGAGCAAUGAGCCUUUAAUGUUUGUAUGUGGAGGAGGGUCUAGAAUAACUUCAUUUCAACUCUUUUUAUCUAUCUAUGUAUAUAUGUACAUGCAUAUUCUACAGUAAUAUGUUUCCAUAUG